GUGAAGAGCAGAGAAACUGAAGGAACGUUGAUGCUCUCUCAGGAGUGUGGCAACUUCUAUACAUGUGCUAUUCCCUAUGGCUGUCUUCUGACAUCUCCCUGGUGGUAAUAGUGGCAUCCUUUACAUCCCACUGGAAAUUCACAGUCAUAUACUGAGGAAUUCUGAAGCCCAGUAAUGAUAUGAAGUUCAUUUAAUGAAGAUGGGAACUUGUGGACCAUUCUUUAUACUUCAGAAAUGCUGCAUCUCUCAUGGACAUAAGGCAUUUGUGACCAGCCAGGUUCUGGCCUCUGAGGGAAGGAUCACAUGCUGAGUGCCUCAGCUUCCUGAAGAAAGUGUGGGAGGGGCAGGAAAAAGAGUUGAAUUCAAAGCAGCUGAACUUCCAACUGGGAGAUCUGCUAUGGAGGGGAUGAGGAAAAACCUGGUCAGUGGUGGAUUCAGAGCAGCAUCCUUGCACAAAGCUUUGAACCUAAUUUCAUGGACUCAGCAGCAAAGUUUGCACUGGUAAAGAGAGCGCAAAACGGACAGACUAUGAAGAUCCCUGGCUUGGCAGGACAGGCAUGGAACAAAGUGGAAAAACAAAGGGUACCAGUGUGACUAGGGUGGGAAAAAACAGUGGAGAAUCACCAAAGUGCUACUUGAAACCAACAUACAGAGUGAACCAAAAUUUCACACUUGUAAAUAUUUAUAAGAUAGGAUUUCCCAUUAUAUGUUCAGCAUUGAAUGGUGCAUGUUGUUCUUAUUAAUGUUUCAUAAACAUUUGUACAGAAAACAAUAUGCUUAACUUUUCUUCUAAGUAUUAAGUAGAAUUAUAGCAGCAUCUGCUUUCAACAGUUGAGUGCACAAGCUAUUCAUGCCCUGUCGUAAAUUCCAUGAUGCAUUAAGAUGCCAUUAAAUGUACCUUCUGUGGUUGUCUGCUCAUUUACAUACCUUGUAAAUCAUCGUGUAAAAAUCAAGUGAACUAGGGAGUAAUCACCUGCACUCUUCCCUUCUGCCACAAAAUGCAGAGCCAUCCACAUCUUCCUCCAUCAGGAUCAUCACCAUUAAACAUAGAAUCAAUUAUGUCAAUGAUAAGAAACUUAAUUGCUAAAGGCAAUUUGAGCUAUGUUUUUUUAACAAGUCCAUUUUCCAUAAAAAAAUUUGAAAGCCAAGCAGGAUAAGCAAGCCAGGAUACAUAAACAUAGUUGGUGAGCCCUUUCUCCUCAAGGAUCCUCAGCUGGGAGUCUUACGUAAA